GGCGCAAGCUGAUCCAGCAAUGCGCGUGAGUGAUGAAGGCUUCGGGUGUAAAGCUCUUCAGCAGGGACGAAAUUGACGGUACUGCAGAAGAAGGUCCGGCCAACUACGUGCCAGCAGCCGCGGUAAUACGUAGGGACCGAGCGUUGUCCGGAUUUAUUGGGCGUAAAGAGCGCGUAGGCGGCUAUCCACGUCGGAUGUGAAAGCUCAGGGCUCAACCCUGAGAGGCCAUUCGAUACGGGAUAGCUAGAGGUAGCUAGGGGAGAGCGGAAUUCCUGGUGUAGCGGUGAAAUGCGCAGAUAUCAGGAGGAACACCGGUGGCGAAGGCGGCUCUCUGGGGCUUACCUGACGCUGAGGCGCGAAAGCUGGGGGAGCGAACAGGAUUAGAUACCCUGGUAGUCCCAGCCGUAAACGUUGAGUGCUAGGUGUGGGGAGGUCUUCAACCCUCUCCGUGCCGCAGCUAACGCAUUAAGCACUCCGCCUGGGGAGUACGGCCGCAAGGCUAAAACUCAAAGGAAUUGACGGGGACCCGCACAAGCGGCGGAGCAUGUGGCUUAAUUCGAUGCAACGCGAAGAACCUUACCUAGGCUUGACAUGCUAGUUAAAGCGGGUGAAAGCCCGUGUCCGUAAGGGGCUAGCACAGGUGCUGCAUGGCUGUCGUCAGCUCGUGCCGUGAGGUGUUGGCUUAAGUGCCGCAACGAGCGCAACCCCUGUCCUUAGUUGCCAGCACGUAAUGGUGGGGACUCUAAGGAGACUGCCGGGGACAACUCGGAGGAAGGUGGGGAUGACGUCAAGUCCUCAUGGCCCUUAUGUCUAGGGCUGCACACAUGCUACAUUGCGCGCUACAGAGGGCUGCGAUACCGCGAGGUGGAGCGAAUCCCAGAAAAGCGCGCCUGGUUCGGAUUGCAGUCUGCAACUCGACUGCAUGAAGUCGGAGUCGCUAGUAAUCGCAGAUCAGCAACGCCGCGGUGAAUACGUUCCCGGG
rnacentral:rRNA from 1 species